CUCUCUGCUUGGAAUCUUGGUGGGCUCUUGUGUUUCAGCUCCAGGCACACCUGGGAACUCUGGCUCCUUCUCGCCUUCCUUGAUGAUGUGAGUCACUUCAGUGAUGAUGACUGUUUCCGGUUCUUUCUGGUCAUGCGGCUCAUCUGAUGGCUUCCUUGGCUUGCUCUUCUUUUUCUUGCCAGGCUCCUUCUCAUCAGCUUCUGGCUUCUCAGGUGUCUCCUUCCAGCCAAAGAUAGUCGAUGUGGGCUCCUUUCCAGGUGUGCCCUCUCUGCUUGGAAGCUUGGUGGGCUCUUGCGUUUCGGCACCAGGUUCUCCAGGGAACUCUGGCUCCUCCUUGCUUUCCUUGAUGAUGCGAG